rnacentral:rRNA from 1 species
GAUGAACGCUGGCGGCGUGCUUAACACAUGCAAGUCGAACGAUGAAGCCCAGCUUGCUGGGUGGAUUAGUGGCGAACGGGUGAGUAACACGUGAGUAACCUGCCCUUGACUCUGGGAUAAGCCUGGGAAACUGGGUCUAAUACUGGAUAUGACUUCUCAUCGCAUGGUGGGGGGUGGAAAGAUUUAUUGGUCUUGUAUGGACUCGCGGCCUAUCAGCUUGUUGGUGAGGUAAUGGCUCACCAAGGCGACGACGGGUAGCCGGCCUGAGAGGGUGACCGGCCACACUGGGACUGAGACACGGCCCAGACUCCUACGGGAGGCAGCAGUGGGGAAUAUUGCACAAUGGGCGCAAGCCUGAUGCAGCGACGCCGCGUGAGGGAUGACGGCCUUCGGGUUGUAAACCUCUUUCAGUAGGGAAGAAGCGAGAGUGACGGUACCUGCAGAAGAAGCGCCGGCUAACUACGUG